rnacentral:lncRNA from 1 species
GGUAAUACGACCACUAGAAAGUGAAUGGUAUAGACCUAGAAAGGUCGUCGACAUAGGCUAAAAGAGUAAACCCUUAAGUUGUAAAAGUGGAUUCCGGAAUCCCUAGGAAUGUGUUGUUGGCAAAAAUAGAAUCAGAACUACGGGAUCGACGGUUCUCCUCUCCCGGUAGUGAUUCAACGGGAUCGACGAUUCUCCUCUCCCGGUGUGAGCUCAACGGGUUUGACGGUUCUCCUUGCCCGUUAAGCUUGAGCGACUUACGGUCACGGGGAUCGAUGGUUCUCCUCUCCCUGUGAUGGACCUAUUGUCGCGUGGACUUAAGGCUGAGGUGCUUGUGAGACGUCCUUCACCUCGAGCCUGACUUGACGCGGUACUCCGCGGUUGAUUGACUCAAGACCGAGUCGAGUGGCUAGAUGGCUAAGGUAAAGUAACCUUAGGAAAGAAUCGCCAGUGAGCACAAUAAGAAUAGAGAAUAAAGAAUAAAGAAUAGCUAAUGAACGUGAAUAGCUAAUAAAGAAAGGAAUACUAUUGAGUAAAGAAUGGUUGAUAAUAUAAAGUAGAAUCAAAAGAUUCACUUAUGAUAGUACAUUCUUGCAUGAUUUACAUAUUGCAUAUCGCGAGGCAUACAUGUUUUAAUUUCUGCAUAAAUUAUUAUGAUUAUUUGUUGGACUAACAUGUUACAGUGCCUCCUUUGGACCUGGUGGGUCGAGCUCUUCCCUUGGGUGGCCGUACCCACUGGGAACUAUUUUAUAUAGUUCUCACCCCCGUGUUGUUUUUGGGGGUACAGGUUCGCACGUGAGCGGCGCGGCGGCGCGAGGACAGGGCGUAGCUCCGUAGAUAGCCCCCUACCACCGAGACCAGAGAUAGCGGUACCCUGAAGCAGUCUAGCUCAGAGUUCAGAAUAAAAGAAACAAACUUGUAUCAAAUUUGUAUAAGUUGUAAUAACUUAAAGGUAUUCGAAAUUUUCUAAAUGUAAAAUUUUGAGAUGAAUGCUUGUAAUAGCAUAGUUAGCAUUUUAUGUUUUUGAUACUUAUGCAAUCUAUGUUUGAAUGCUGUUCCUGGUUGGGACCUCUUCUACUGCAUCGUAUGGAUUGUGACGCCUAGGACGUACAGGAAAAGCUCUGUCCGUUCGGCGGUCUGUCGGCGUGCCCGAAUCUGACUAAAUUGGCGGAGCUCGGGGGGUGACAAUUUCAGUUUUUAAAUUUGAAUUUAAAAUUUUAAAUUUCAAAUUUUGGAUUUUAGAUUUUAGAUUUUAGAUUUCAGAUUUCAAAUUUAAAUUUUCAAAUUUUUAAUUUUAAAAUUUACAUUCGCAAUUUUAAAUUUGAAUUUUGAAAUCUAAAAUUUCAAAUUUUAAAUUUAAAAAUUUUAAAUUUUAAUUUAAUUAUAAAUUUCUAAAUUUUAGCUUUAAAUUUUAAAUUUCAAAUUUUAAUUUUUAAAAUUUAACUUUGAAUUUUAAUUUUAAAUUAUAAUUUUUUAAAUUUAAAUUUAAAUUUUUAAAUUUCAAAAUUUUAAAUGUUAAGUUUAAAGUUUUAACUUUCAAUUUUGAAAUUUUAAAAUUUUCAUUUUUAAAUUUCAAAUUUAACUUUUAAAAUUUUAGAUUUUAAAACUAAAAAUUUUAAUUGUUUGAGAUCUUCGAGAUCUUGUGGAAUUGUAUAAUCUGUAUCGAACUGUAGAAUUUUUUAUAGUUACAGAAUCUUUUAUUUCGUGCAGAUCAAAACCACAUGAUAUAAACACCAUUAAAUUUCUUAGGACCUAAGGUGGACUUGGCCCAACUUGAGCUUAUUGGAAUCGUACUUUCGGCCCAAUUUUUGAUGUUUUGCACAUACAAGGCCAAACUGCGUUAUGUCACCAGAUGCAAUAAUAACUCUACGGUUCUACCAGCCGACUUGAAUGCGGAAGCCCAAAAAUUGUAGCUUCUGCGUUAGAAUUAAUCGAACUAACUUACAGCGCAUAUCGUUUGGUUCGGAAAUAAGCAAAAAAUUGCUAUUCUAGAAAUAAGUAUAAAUUAAGGUAUAAGUGGGGAUUAGAUUAAUUUUGCGUUUGGAUGAAAAUUGAGUUGUUCCUGAGAAUAAAAAAAAUAGCGUUUAGUUAGAUAAGAUAGAAUAAGAAUUAAAAUGGAUAGUUAUAAAUAAAAAAUAAUGAUAUUAUUCCAUUCUUUAUAUUAGAAUUAGAAUUUUUAUAUUUUAUAUUUAUAUUUUAUAAUUUAAAAUAUAAACUUUUAAAUUUUAAAAAUCAAAAUUAAAUUUUAAAAUUUUAAAAUCUCAAAUUUAUAAUUUUAAAAAAUUAAAAAACAUAAUAAUAAUUUUAAAUUCAAAGAUUUAAAAUAUCAAAAAUUAAAUUUAAAAUUUAAAUUUUGGAAUUUAAAUUAUAAAUUUAAUUUUGAGAUUACAAAUUUUAAAUUUUGAAAAUUUAAAUUUUAACUUUUUAAAUUUAAAUUUUUUAAAAUAAGAAUAUGGGGCGGAACAAUUAAAAAAAUAAUUUAUUAUAAUAAAUUUAUAAAUUUGAUAAAAAAAUUUUUUAGUAAAUUUAUAUGUUAUAAAUUUUUUUAAAAUUCUACUUAAACAUAAAUUUCAUAAAAAUAAUUUAUUAUAAUAUUUAAAUAUAAAUAAUAUGUAUUAAGUACAAUUAAUAAUUUUAUAAUAAAAAUAAUGUAUUAUAAUAUAUAAUAUAUUAUAUUUAUAUGAUUUAUUUUUAAUUUAAUUUAUAAUUUUAAUUAAGCUUGAAAUUAAGCAUUGUAAGGACUAUUCCACCAAAAUGGUGAAAUAGUAAAUCUCAAGCUAUUCCGGGAUAACCGGGAAUAAUAAGGUUUGACCGGAAUAAAAUAUUCCAGCAAAAAGUCAUCCCGUUUGGCGGAAUAGCAAGGAUAACUUUCGUUAUCCCCGCUUAUCCUCUGAACCAAACGGUAAAUGCUGAGCAGGCCCUUCGAAUUUUUUUAUUAAUAUACUUAGGCUUAGUUUGGUAUCGAGACCCAUCUAAUUUUUUUAGAUAAAAUAGGUAAAAAUAUAUAGGGAUAUACUUCUGCGUUCUCCGGUGGGACCGUAGAAAAUAUAUCGUAAUCGACUCAUCGCGAUAUGUGGAAUAUAAUAUUACGUACGGAAACAAACAUGAUAUUUUUCUCACCGCACGUAACGCAAUCUCAUCGCAAUCCUAAAUGAAGCUUUAGAAAAAUACUAUAAUUAUAAAAUAGUUCUCUAAAAAUAUCAUAUACAAAAUUAGGUCUAUACAGUGAAUAAAUUACAACUUUCUAAAUGUGGUAAAUCAUUCACCGCUUUUUUCAAAGAAUUAAACUAUUUUUAGUAUUUAAUACUAUACAUCUUUUGAAGUUUCGAUGUAAAAAAUACAUCAAUUAGGGUAAAAGUGGUGAAUAAUUCAUCGCUUUUAGAAUGCGGUAAAUGAUUCACCGUUUUUAUCAGUCUAUUUUUACAAAUAAAAAUUUUGAAUAUCUAUUUUUAUAUUUAAUAGCCCAAAAACUCUAGGCCUAUCCCUUUCCUAUGUGUCUGCAGUACAGAACAAUUUAUCAACAUUUUAUAAUAUAUAAUAAAUAUUUUGGUCAUUUCAACAUUCUGUGAUACUAUACAAUACUUUGAUAAGAUAUUUACCGUAAAGUUUUCUCUAAAGAGCUGCUUGAUUCCACAUAAAAUUAUGAAAAAUAAAUUUUGAUCAAAUUUUUUUUGGUGAAAAAUAAAUUUUACACUCUUUAAUAUUUUAUUUGUAGGAAAAAAAAAUAAAAAAAAGAUAAAUAAAUCAUACUAUAUUUAUCAUUAUUAUUAUCAAAAUUAUAUUAUAUAAUAAAUUGAGAAGCAUAUAAUAUAAUAUAUAUCAUAGUAUUUGUAUAUUAUAAAUAUAUAAUAAAAAGAUAAAUAUAUAUAAUAAUUUUUUAUCCCCUCUCUCUCAUAUAUAUAUAUAUAUAUAUAUUAUUAUAAUAACACACCACGUAGAGAGAGGAGAAAAUAUAUAUACAGGAAUAAUUUAUAGAUGCCCCUCUAGAAACUAUAAUUUCAUCAAUACCCUUCCAAAAUUAAUAAUAUCACAAAUACCCUCCAAAAUGUGAAAAUUAUCAUAAAUACCCUCCUCUAGUUAAGAUUCAUUAAAGCCAUUUGAACGGAGUUAAAUUUUUUUAAAAUACUUUUUUAGCCCUUUAUCUCUUUUUAAUAGUAGAAUACUAAUAGGUAUUUCAAAAAUAAUUUUUGUAAAAUCUAAAUUUGAGUAUUUAAUAUAUUAAAUAGUUAAUUAAAUUAUUAAUAUAUAUUAAUUAAUAAAAAAUAUAUAAAAAUUGUAUUUAAAUAUAGUAUGUUUUAUCUGAUUUUGGUUUGUUCUUGUUUUGGGUUUCGGUUCAGAUUCGGUUUAAAUAUAGACCAAAACUAUAUAACUGAAUUUACAUAACGACGGGAUUUUAUUUUUUGGUAUCUAUAACUAAAACUAUCCCUAUUCAGCAUUGAUUAAACUUAUCCCAUUUUAAAUCGAGUUUAGAUAAAUUCGUAUUUAUAUCAAUUCACUUCCUAAUUAUAAUAGUAAUUUUGAAAUAAUUAUAGAUAUUUUAUUUUUCCUAUUUAAAAAUAAAUCACAUAAAUUGUUUUGUCGAUUGAAAUAAAAGAGAGUUUUGUUCAAAGCUAAAAUAUUUAUAUUUCAAGUUUUGUUAAUACCUUAAUGCAGAUAAAAUUAUGCGAGAAUAAUUUGAUUCAAAAAAUUUUUAAGUUUUCAAGAUGAAAGAACAGAUCGUAUUUCUUAACAUAUAUUUCUAUUUAAAUUUUAUAUAUAUAGUUAUUUAUUUUGAUAAAAAAAUAAUAGCCAUUAAUUUGUAAAAAUCCAUCACAAAAACUAAAAAAUUCUUUAUUUUUUUUUAUACACUGAGAAUUUAGGUUUUUUUAUAAAGAAAAUAGUAAUGGGGUAUGCAACUAAAAUGAAAUGUGAGGAGCUGUAUUCCUCAAAAAUGCAUAUAGUUGAGGGGGUUUCACCAUUUUUAGUUAAAAGUAUUUGAGGGUAAAUAAGUCAAUUAAAAUUAACCCAUCUUUACCAUGUAAUAACUAUAGUACAAUAACGUAACUAACAGUAGGGUAUUAAUGAUUAAUUUUUUGUUUAUAGGGGUAUUGGUGAUAUUUAACUUUAUAGGGCAUCUAUGAUAUUUUAACUUUGGAGGGUAUCCAUGAAUUUGCCCCUAUACAUAUAUACACACAUAUAUCCAACGAGAGGAGAGAGAGAGAGAUUGAGAAGAGAGCGAGAGAGAGAGAGAGUUGAGUGAGUAGGUCCAGCACGUGUCAUGAUCACUAUACCUCUGUGGAUCGCGAUGCUUUUUAAUGCACGUGAGCGGCGUUUUCUUCUUCAAGUUCUCGUUUGCACAAAGAUGAACGAAAAUAAAAGUUGAGUUUUUCUUUAAAUUCGUAAAUUAAUUUUUUCUUUUACAUCAAAACAAUUGAACAUCUGAAAAAACUUUCAAGCCUGAAAAAUUUUUGAAAUAUUAUCAUUGUCUAGGCCUCUUAACAAAAUAAAAUUUCCUAUCUGACUCUUUUUUGAAAAAUAUUUUCAAUCUAGCCUCAUUUUUAUAGAUUAGGAAAAAUGAUAAGUUAAUAAUUUUUAUAUAGAUUAAUAUGUUAAGUGGGUGGAGAUUAUCUUUUUUUUUCUCUUAUUUUAAAUUAAGUGAAUAUAAUGUGAUUUUAUAUAUGAACACUUUUAAAUUAUAUUGACUUAUAUAAUCAAAUUAAGUACUAGUAGUACUAAUAAAAAAUUAUAAUUUAGAAAUAUUAUUAUUUAUUAUUAUUAAUAAAUAAAUUUUUUAUUAAGUGUUUAUAUAUAAAUCACAUUACAUUCACUUAAUUUAAAAGGAGAGAGAAAAAAAAGAUAAUCUUCACCCACUUAACAUAUUAAUCUACAUAAAAAUUAUUAACUUAUCAUUUUUUUCCUAAUCUAUAAAAAUAAGGUUAGAUUGAGAAUAUUUUUCAAAAGCAGGUUAGAUAGGAAAUUUUUUUUUGUAAAGAUAGAGGCUAGACAAGUAAAUGAAUCUUCAGCUGCUUUCAAUUGAAACAAAACACACCCUAAUCUACAACACUUUGAAAAGAACUAAUCCAAACACUCUAUAAUGUUUUUUCUACCACACAAUUUUAUAUUGUUAGAAAAUAACCGGCACAUCAGAAAAAACACGCAGCGGAAAAUAAUUUUGUAUUUUUAAAAUUUUUCGGAAGCUAAAUACAUAUCACAUAUGAAAACCGAAAACCAAUAAAUCAAACCGUUGCCGGCGGAUCAUUCUCAUGUUACUAUGCAAAAAUUUAAUCUAAACAAAAACUCUUUAUGUUUAGAAAUCUUACCGUGGACCAGUUAAGGUCUCUUGAUCUACUGUACGUUUGAAACUGAAUAUGACGAACAGAGAUUCCGAUUAGCCGUGCACAUGCCCGGCCUCUACGCGUAUCCACACGGAAUCGGCGCAUACCCAAUCGAUCUUCGUCUCACGAACCGGAUGAGUCACGGACCAUCUGGACGGUGCUAGCAAUCACUUCAUGAUCUUUCAGUCGAUGAAGAAUAGAGAAGUUGAUCGGAAAGAAACACGCGCGCAGAAGAGAGAUCGGAGAGAGAUCGAUUUCUAUAUGUAUAUAGAUCAAUAGCUAUCAUGGAUCCAAUUAAAUCAAAUCUAGUAAAAAAUCUUAUCUUAUAAGAUAUUAUGAAUAUUUAAUUAUUCUUUAAUCCAAUUAGAGAUAAAUAUUAAUCUCUCCAAUAUUUAAUUAGAUCUUAUCUAAUUUUGAUCUUAUCCAAUAAGAUUACUCACUAAUAUUUAAAUCUCAUUUAAAUAUCUUUUAUGAUUAAAUAUUAUCUACUAAUCUAAUUAGAGAUAAAUUUAAAUCUUGCGCAUAAUUCUCUAACUGAUUCUGAGAUCCUAACUAAUUAGGACUAUCAGUUAUAACCGAAUCGAAUAAUUAAAUCUAAUUUAAUUAAGCAGCUUCCUUUUAUUUUCUUCGCUUAUACUAAACUCUUUAGUGAACGACUCUCAUCCAAACGAUUCGGGUGUACACAAUUCCUAAUGUGUGUGACCGCAUAGGUUCAUUACCAUUCGACAGUGGAGCUCAACAUCAAACUCUUUGAUAUUUAAUUAGAACUCUUCUAAUCGAUAAAUAAGAACAAUUCAAUUCGAAUCAUUCAUAUUCUCUCACUGUCCGUGAGUGACACCUAGCAGUAUAUCACGGCAAUCCAGAAUGGUGAUGAAGAAUGAACCUUUCCGCUUACAGUUACCAUGUGAUUAAUUCCUUCCAACAUACAAUGUCCCAAUCGAACUAAGGUCAUGGUUACUCGCCAAACCUUAUCAUUCGACCAUAUGACUAGACUAUCUGAAAUCAACUCAAUAUGGCAACACGGUUGGAAACUCUUUCCACAUACCAUGUACCCUGGCCAGGGGUUUUCCGAGUCGAGUUUGAUAGACUGCAUAGGACAUUCUCCCUCGUCAUUGAGAGUGUUGGAUCCCUUAUUGCGCAUUCACAUGCCUCCUCGCAUAAAUCACUACAGUCAAUCAGUACCGAACAUAAACACGUGUCUAGAGUCUAAGUAUUAGUACUGUCAAACGGUAACAAUUUAUACGUGAAGCAACUAUGAUGCCUCAGGUCCAAGGAGUACUUCACACAACUGUAGCAAUGAACUUGUCACUGGCGAGAAUAGAACCAUAUGACUGUUCAACUAAAUAGUUACGCUCAGUGUACUUGUUCUCUAACAAGCACCUAUAUGCUUGUUCUAGUGUCCCUACAUUAGUGACUUGAGAUUCGUCACCUCAAUUAGAAACAUAGCAUAUACCGGCCUAUCCGGAAUAUCACCGUCCCUGUAAUAUUCCUCUGGCUAGGAGCAUUUAAAGAGUCUCGUACAGAAAAAUACAUAUCUCAAAUUUCUAACUCUUAGGAAUAUAUUUUUUCAAACAAAGACUCUAUGGACGAUUCAUGACAAUAUUGAAUUGCUAUACCAUAUACAUGAAUAGAAUAUGUAACACACUAGACCUUUGCAAAUUGCGAGGUUCGAGUGAUUGGCCGUGUUCUGAGCUUUUCCAGAUUUUCUGGUAGGUCGUUGACUGUGUUCCGACCUACGGCACGUGUCCCGAGAAGUGUGGUACAAAGCCUUGCACCAAAACUCGAAAAAACGGGAUUUGGUUGACUCUCGGAUUGAGUCCUGGCAGGCUUGUACCGGUACAAGGUUGUGCUUGUACCGGUACAAGGUUGAUGGAUGUACCGGUACAGCCAUCGGAGCUUGUACCGGUACAGAGCCGCAGAGCCCAGCAACCCGAGCCUCGGGUUUGGAUUUCGUGGACCUUAUACCGGUACAAGAGCCCGUGUACCGGUACAAGGGGGCUGAUUUCGUGCAGUUUGAACUGCAGGGGGCUUUUUGCGAUUGUGGACUUCUUAUUAGUACCCCCCACGCCCUAGGGGUCUUCUUCUGAGCUUGGGACCAGCAAGAGGAGAGGUAAGGGAGCCCUCUUUGAUUUCCUUUUGAUCUAUUUGGAUUUUGGUAGGAUUUUAAGAGAUUAAACCUCUCUUUUGCUUCUUUUGCUUGAUUGGAGGCUUUUCCACCUUUGGGGCUUUGUUUUGGAGCUUUGUUGAGGGAAGAACUUGGGACUUAGAGCAUUUAGAGCUUGAUUUAAAGCUUCCAAGAGGUAAUCCACUUGUUCUCUUCCUCUAAAAUAGAGUUUUAUUGAGAAUUUUGUGAUGAAACCCUAGAUUGGAGAUUUAGGGCUUAUUUUGGGCAUUUUGAUUUUAGGGCUUUUGGAGCUUGAUUGAUUGGAUUAGAACCUUCCUCUAGGAUAGAUUGGAAGGAUUCUAGCUCCCCUUUGGAGCUUAGGAGAGGAUUUCUUCUUGUGAGGUGAGUUUUGGCCUUUUGCCUUCUAGUUAAUGCUUUGAGCUAUUCGCUCUUCGUUUCUUUGGGUGCCCCAUUUUUGUAUGUUCGUAGGGUACUAGGAAGCUUGUGGAAACCUCCGUUCGGUCGAAUACGAAAGUUUUGAUUUUGUGGGUUUGACUAGCCUAUUGUAAUUGAGAAAUUCUCAUAUCUCUUGUUUACUGCCUUUAUAAAUGAUUAAUUCUUGCAUUUGCCAUGCAAAUACAUUUAUUGUGAUUUAGGAUGCUUAACAUGCUGACUUGGUGUGAAUGAUUUUGAACCUUCUAUAUAGUAAGAACAACAUGCGUGAACUAGCAUAUGAUCGGCAUCCUAUCAGAUUUAGCACAUGUUUUCUAUUGUAAAAUGAGAGUGGAUUCACGGCAUUUACCACCUAAUUUAAUUGAGGCAUCGAGAGAUAACAUGAUUGCCAUAAAGUGCAACCGAAUUGGGAAUAUCACUGUGAAUUAGAGAGCUAAUGUCAUCAAGCGUCAUUGAGGCUUCAGGACAUGUGGUGACUAGUGGAUGAGGCCAUUGAGGAUUGAAUAUAUGUUGAACAUCAAAUUUCUAAGUGUCAUCAGGAGGCAAUCUAGCCGUAGCAAAUGUUGAAACUUCAUAUUGUGACUGUAAACUAGUAUCUUCGGAGCUAGGACUAGUACAUGUUAAGUACAUGAGAUUGGAUCUUGAGACUCUGUACUAUGCUUGCUUGCCAUUUGUGGCUCCUUGCACUAUGUUUGUGAGUGGUCGCUCUCCCUAACAAGCCGGCACUCUAGAGUUAGCUCUACGCGACCUACUUUCGACCGUGCGUAGUGCGAGAAGACCUACGGUCGGGAAGGCUAUAGACCAUUCCUAGAGUGGGAAUGUGUGGGCUACCACCGACAACUUAGGCGCACAAGCUGGAUUACAAUAUGUACGGACCUAUAAUAUAUAAUUGUUUGAUGAAUACAUUUGUAAUCCCGGGAAGUAAUCCACCUACUAGACGAUAGGUUUAGUAGUUGAAUUACAUUUAUCAUGCUUUCUACAUAGUGUUGAACAUUAGUAUACUUGAUAGAUCUUUUAUUGCAUCAACAGAUACUUGGUGCCAUGACACGAACUUUAUGCAUCAUGUAUUGAUAAAGUGUUAGUGACAUUCAACUAUUACCAUUGACUAUCUAUUAUGAUAUUUCGUAGAAUGUAGCACGCAUGACAUCGUGUAUACUUGAGCUUUAGUAAUUUAGCAUUUUAAUUGUGCUUUCAUAUCGCAGUCAUUAUUCGCUAUUAUUAUUGUACUUCGCUUUAACUUUGGGGCCUAGUGGUGCAUAGAGCUGAGGUCAGUAAUUCUGCCACGGAACUAUAAAUUAUAGUUCUCCACCUAGCGCCCUCUUUUUCUCGAUAUUUUCAAGCCUCCGCGUAGGGUGAGGCUCAGGGAUCGCGGUGAAGGAGUUGCUAGCGAAGCUAGCUUCCUUACGAGAACUGAGUUGUUAGGUGGUCUAACUUCUCGAUGAUUUACUUUUGGUGCCGAGAGUUUGAGGGCUUUCCAGUGUAUACGAGACCACCAUUUUUGUACUAGAAGACAGAUAUUGUACUACAUUAUCGGUUUUUUUAUUGACUCUAACUCUUAUUUCUUUACUUUGUGUAGAUGAUAGAACUUACUUGCUCUGAUAUCAUUAGUUGUAGUUAGUUCAUCUUUAUUUGUUCUAUCUCCUGCUUUACUUCCGCUUUUAUUGUAGACGCCUUAUAUGUGUAGAUAUAUGGCGGGUCUGGGCACGCUACCGGGAGGGCCUUCUCCGGUCCCGGGGCGUGACAGAAUAUCUGCCCUCCUAUUAUAAAUUAUAAAUAAUUAAUACAUAAAUACCCUUAAGCUAGUGUCACCAUAUUGGCUUUUGGGCAUAUAACUAACAUAUAUCUCCCGUGGCACGUUAAAAUAGCACCAUAUCAAACAACUUGACCAUACUAGUAUUAAAGCUGCAUGAAAUUGCGGUCAUAAUGUAAGGGUCAGGGUCCGUUUAUUUUGGUAUAAAUAGAGGAAUGAAACUCAAGUUCCAUCACUUUCGUCAUUUAUUUUAGUAUAAGUCAAAAAUAUAAUAUAACUCAAGUUACGUUAGAUCUUCACUUCACCUAUUCUCGAUUUUCUUUUCUAGUUAAAGUGCCGAACUCGACUUCUGCCACACUCAAUCUUCUCUAAAAAAUUUAUUUAUUUUUUUUGAGAGAUAGGUAGCAUGCUAUCCGCUUCGUUUAUUUCUUUUAGAAAUAAAAUUAGCUGGAAAUGCGAAUCAACUAGACUUAGCUAGAAAUGUGAAUAAACUAGGAUUCGAUCUUGGGAUCUCGGGUACCAACCACCAAGCCCUUUGCCACUUAGACCAAGGACGGUUGAUCUCUAAAAAAUUUAUUAAAUAGUAAAACCUAAACUCUACUUCCUUUAUAAUGGGUUAGAAUUACCUUAUUUAUAAUAAAUUAUUAUUAUCUUUAAAUAAUAAUGAAAAAUUUAAUUAUAUAAUAGGUUAAAUUUUAUAGCGAUAAGUUUACCACUAUAUUUAGGAGAUAACGUGAUUUAUUUACUUAUAUCAAAACAAAUAAUGAAACUCAAAAAACUAAUUUCACUAGCAUCAAGUUACAUCAAAACAAACAGAAGAAAUAAUUGAAUUUAACUUUCAAAUUGUACGAGUUAUGUCAAAACAAACAACAAAAAAAUAAUUGCACUUCAGGAAAACUCAAACAUCAUUGCACUUAAGUUACGUUGGAUUUACGAAUUCGUCAAUCCAAAUGCCCCCUAAGCCAAAAACAAUUAACACGGUCUAUCAUAACAAACCAACAUGUGUGGAUGGAGCUUAGCAUUGAAAACAGAUAAGAUAUUAUCCAAUAAUAUUCAUAUCUAUUCGGUAUUAUUCAUAUCUAGAUAGAAAAUGUUCAAAUCCAGUCAGAUAUGGAUGUGAAUAUAAUUUUAGAAAGUCAAAAUUAUCCGGAUAUCGAAAAAAACGAAUACGGGUACAAAUAUACAAUACCCCAAUAUCUCAUUCUCCUCAUUCUCUUAUCCCAAUAUCCCAAUAUCUCUGUUGUGGCUCGAACAGAACUUUCGAAAUGUUGACCAAGUCAAGCUAUUGACCGGGUCAAUUGCAUCUUCAGACUUGUGGAUCGGUUUUUGAAUUGACUCUCGAGUGCGUCAAAAUCAAGCUAUUCAGUUGAGAAGGGAUUGGCUCAACCAUGUUCUCUCUCAAUGUGUAAAAUGAACCGAAUUCAAGGAAUAGGAACUAAUUCGGCUGAAACUAGAGCCGAACUAAUUUAUUUCAUUUCAUUAAUAUAUGAAAAUUAUAGGAACUGUAGAUCACUAGGACUUUGAUUAGAGAAAAAUUAAGGACUAAUCUCUAAAACUGGAAGCUACUCCUAAGAAAACAGAAUAUACUGGAAAUGAAGGGUUACAGACUACUACGAAAGUUGUAGAUACUGGAAUUAGAAGGAGAAUUUAAAAGUAGCAGUCUUGUGUUCGGAAAAAGAUUGUGUUAGAGAAAAGAUUCUUAUCACAGGCAACCUUUCACUAUUUACAGCACUCUUGCCAGCUCUUCGUUACCUUGUGGUUACCGGACAGUUCGCAUAGUGGGGUAGUGCUCUGGUGUCACGCCGCGGGGCCGAUUUUAAAAACCUUUUGAAAACAGAGUUGCGGAAAGCGUGCCAUUUUUUUUUUUUCAACCUGGCCCACGUGACGUACAGACCCGCCACAAAUACAAAGUUCCUCUGUCCACUCGGGCAGAGUCUCCUUUGUAUUUGCACGGCGUACCAACGGAUACAACAGGAUCUCAACCACAACCUACAUUUACCAAUCAACAACCAAAGCAUGAUAUGCAUUUCCAUACAGCUAACAAUCCUUAGAAUGAUGCAUGCCUCUAAGCACAUCUUAGGCGCUGGAUGAUGCAAUGCACAAUACAACAACCAUCCUAUUUAAAAGUGCUCCCCACACAGAAGCUUUUAUUUUUGAACUCUAAUUCAUUCAUCAUGAAAAAUCAUUAUAGAGAGAGGAUGGUUUCGACUGGACUUGAUGAGGUGACGACGAGGGUCGGUGUCGAAAUAUAACACUCUCGGAAUCCGAGAUUCGUAAAUUAUUCCGAACUUUAAUGUGAGUUGCGGCUAUCUGUGUUUGCUGCCAAGACUCAAAUUGGAAAGUUGUUUGUGGGGCAAGCAGUGACUCGUGACACGAGUCGUUGAGUUCGGAGGCACUAGUGUUUCCCGGGACGCGUCCCGGUUGAUUUCUGGACUUCCGGUGAGUUACGAUUUAUCGGUGUUGGGAAAACCGAUACGGGGAUCCGUGUUAGGGGUUUGUGAGUGCUCAGUGCUUUGUUUAGUGAUGAAUACUCGGACUUUGGUGAUCUUCUUUAGGUUCCGGCGACUUGUGUCGUACCCAGGUGUUCCGAGUGCGACAUGUACAGUCGUGCUUCGAGCUGGUAGUCGUGAGAGGCGGUUCACCGCCUUCUCACUGGUUUAUUUCUAUUCCAGUAAUUAGCUCUAACAUGUCAGUUGUCUGGUUAUCGUUUGUUUAUCGUAUUUCGUGACCUGCAUUGGUUAUGAUUGAUAGGACAUUAGAGCAAGUUGCAUUUUAUAUUUCAAUGUAUCUCUGUGGACCUGUCUAGCAACACAUCGACUUCUCCUGUCGUGUGUUCCAUUGGUUGGAUCAGGUUUCGGCGUUGUACCCUAGCUUUAUUUUAAAAAUUGGUGCAUUGUACGCGCCGUCCGUUGUUGCCUUCGGCCUAGGCACCCGCUUUAGCCGGGUUAUGUGUUUGUUUGAGCAUAUCCAGCAUGAGCUUAGUCACAAGGCACUCUGGGUAACUUCUAUGACACCUGGGUCUCCGGAGGUCGGUUUGGCCACGAUCGGCAGGUGUACUUAGCCGGAUAGGUCGUCCUGCGGCGUAUUGGAUCCACUCGUGCAGUUAGUGCCGAAGGCAGCGGCUUGAGUCUGGCGUACAAUACAGCAGGGUAGAUCGAUUCGCGUAACAUGUUUCUAUUCAGUACUUUGAGGCAUUCCUUUUUGCAUUGUUAUCUAAUACAGUAGCAGGUUUGUUUGUAUUGCUGUCUUAUUUAUCUGUUUUGUUAGCUACUGUAGACUUUCAUAUCAGCAUUAUAUUUGUUUUAUAUCUAGUCUCCAUUUGAUUUUGCGGUGAUGUACGCUUGCCUUCGUGGUCUGUCGCGACCCACUGAGAAAACCAAUGGUUGUCGUUGCUCACCCCCAUUCCCCUUGCCCCAAAAGGUUGACAUAAGACGAGAGUUGGAUUUGGGCUCGAACGAGUAGGACUCUCGCUUAAUCUGGUUUAGCGAUCGCGGCACACUGGGUGUAUUCUGUCCCGGCCUUAUGUAGUCAUUUAAAUAAAAUGGUUCAUUUAGAUGUUUGAAUGUUGAUUUUCAUUAUGUCAUGAUAAAUAUCUAUAUUGCUUUAAAUGGAAGUUGUUUCUGCAUAUGCAUGAGAAUUAUGGAUGUCUUAUUAUGCAGAUUGGAGUUUUAGAUACUGUGUUUUGGAUCCUUUGUUUCAGAUUGGAUUUUAUACGCUUUGUGGAUUUCUGAACUACCUACGAGGUACUGGUUUUCAAAUAGUAGUUCCGUGUGGGAAAUAGUUUUAGAGAGAGAGUUUCACANNNNNNNNNNNNNNNNNNNNNNNNNAUUAUUGUAAGGUGAAUUCCUCAUAGCUUAUGGUUUUCAAAAGUUAAAUCACCAUAAAUCUUCAAUUUACAAGCUCCGGAAGGAGUUUCGGCGCUGAUCUCGCGUGAAAGCCGAGGAGUCGGUGGACGCUUCGAGGAGUUGAGGCCGUUGACGUGCGAGGAGUUCAGCAAGGUCCGAUUGGGGAUCCUAAUGUUGGGUGCGAACAAGGAGUCAGUUACAAUGUGAAUUUGCAUGUUAUUUUCUUUGAUUGAGCCAAAGAAUGUUGAAUGAAGCUCUUGUUGAUGAAUAUUGGAUAAAUAUAUGCAAAAGAACUUGUCAAUUUGUCGCAAUGAUGUAUGGAGAUUGGUGCCUCGCUGCUGAGCAACAACACGAUUAUUGGUACCAAAUCGAUCUUAAGAAUAAGAAAAAUGAGUGUACUAUCGUACGGAACAAAGCUAGACUUGUGCUUCAGGGGUACUCUCAAAUUGAGGGAAUAGACUUUGAAGAUAAUCUUUGCUCCGGUUGCCGUCUCGAAUCUAUUCAUAUCUUGUUUCGCGAUUGCUUGUCAUUUAAAAUCACGCUCUUUCAAAUGGAUGUCAAAAGUGCAUUUUAAAUGGAUUGUUAAAAGAGGAAGUUUAUGUUGAACAACCGAAGGUUUUAUAGACUCAAAAUUUCCAAAUCACGUUUCGACUGAAAAAGGCACUUUAUGGACUAAAAACAAGCCUCGCGAGCAUGUACGAACGUUUGACAAAAUAUCUUUUGGAAGGGAUAUAACGAGGGGAGCAGAUAGAACUCUUUUGUGAAACACCUGAAGGAUAAUUUCAUUGUAGCACAAAUAAUAUGUGAGAUGACAUAGUUUUUGGCGGCUACUAAAGAUAAGGAUGCCGCUGAUUUGCAAAGUUAAUGACCGCUUGAGUUGAGAUGUCAAUGAUGGCGGUGAGCCUUAAUUAUUUACCUCGGGCUUUCAAGCAAACAAUCAAAAGAAUGGAAUUUCAUUUGUCACAGACAAAGUAUGCGAAGAACUAAUUAAGAAAUUACGAUUAGAAGAGUGCAAAGGAUUUGACACUCGAAUGGGUACAAGCCAACAAAGGAUUAGAGUGAAUUCAGAAGGUCAGAGUUGGAUGAGAAACAAUACAGAAGCAUGAAUGGUAGCCUUUGUUAUCUGACUGCCGAAGCAGACCUGACAUUGCGUUUAGUGUUGGAAUAGGUGCUCGGAUUAUGCAGGCUAAUCCUACAGGAAUAGCAUCUGAAAGCAGUUAAAGGAUUAUGUCGAUAUGUUAAAGAACCAACCGAGUAUGGACUAUGGUUAUCCUUAAUAGGUAACGUCUUGACCUAAUCGGCUUACUCGGAUGCUGAUGGGCCAGGCUCCGCAAUGAUCGAAAAAAAGUACUAGGGAGCUGUUUUUACAUUGGACAUGUUUGGUCGCCUGCACAGUUAAGAAAGCAAAAUUGCAUGCUCUUCCAGCAGAAAGCCUGAAUACAUUGCAGCUAGAAGUUGCUCUACUCAAUUAAUUUGGGAUGAAAAGCCUAACUAGCGCGACUAUCGGGAUUCUUCUACCACACUGAUCAUCUGUUGGUGACAACACGAUGUGCUAUUAAUAUUUCUAAAAACCCUGUUUUGCAUUCAUCGAUACAAAACAUAUUGAACUAAAGAUAUCAUUUUUUAGAGAACUGGUUAGAAUCAAAGAUUUACAAACUUGAAUACAUUUCAACUGAAAUCAACUUGCAGAUAUUUUAGACCAAACCUUUGGAUAAAACUUUUCUGCAUUGAGAAAGGCCAAUGGUAUGAAUCAUCCAAUCUAGAUAUAUUCUUUGAGCCACAGAUCAUGUGAUGUUGCAUAUUUUUUCUUUUCUUGCAUGUUUUUCGGAAUGUUUAUGAUUUGUUUGAUUUUCUUGCUUGAUGUUGCUUUUCGGGAAUGAGUGAUCUGUGAAUUUAAAGUAUUUCAUAUUUAGUUUUGAUUGAUCAAAUUGUCAGGGCUUACUCUCUAUUGACAUAUUUCUUGAACGAUCAAAUUCAAUUUGAUAAUAUCUUUUAACGAUAUGAAUCAAAUGCGAGCACCUCAUGCUUUUACUUUGAAUAUGUGCAUUGUUUGUUGAUAUUAGUUUGAGAUAAAAAAUCUUCUCUAUUUUGAUAAUCUGCGAUAAUAUUUUGCUGAGGUUGCACUAAUUUAGGCUGGGAGUCUUUGCAUUUUUAGCUAGUGAAAAAUUUAUGAAAUUCAGAUGGGAAAAGAUUACAUUCCCCGCUGUGGAAGUGUGAAAACUACCACCACAUGGAUGAGAAAGAGCUUACACCCGGUCAGUCCGUUCAUGUGUGCAGCUACCAAUUGAUGAUCAAUAUAUCUCUAUGAGCUAAAGCAAUAUAACGAAUGAAUCAAAAUGAGAUGUUUGUGGGAGAUGGUAAAUUCUACUACUAUGUAUAAUACAUCUCCUAGGCGAUAUAGGGAUUUGUUAAAGAUGCUCAGAGCCACUGCUUGAUCUCGAUUUUGUGAUAACUCAAGUUGAGAAUUUUUUGUGUAUUGCCUGAUAAGAGAUUUUAUUUAUUAAUUUCUUAACAAAUAUGAUGAUAAAAUGAUGCAAUUUAUCCCUAUAUCUUGCAUGAUGUGUGGAAUUAUAUUUCAUACGUUAUCAAGAAUUUAUCUUGAUGUCUCGGUAUCAACAAUAUUUGACAAUUGAUAUCUUUGAGAGUUGAUUUUUCAAAAUUUAUUUAUGAAAAUUUAUUUGGAAGUUUUUGGGAUUGGAUAUUAUGUAUAUUUAUUGCUGUUGGAUCAAUGUUUGAGGUAAUUAUAUAAAUUGUUUGACAAAUUUGGACGAAAAAUGGAUUUUUCGGUUGCGCUCUGCGGACCGGUCCCAGACUUGGAGAGACCGUCCCUCCAACCCGGGGAAAAACCGGGUUAUUAAAAGGGGUUGCGGUCCGGUUUCUUCAUCACUUUCCCAAACUGUUCUAACUUCUCCCCAGGGCUCUAGGCAUACUAAGGGCUUUUGCUCCAUUCCUCAUCAAUUAUCCACUUGAUUUUGGUAUGAUUCUGGAAUUUAUUUGUGUUGUUGCUUAUAUCCGAAUUUAUGCUUCAUUUCAUUUUUGGGAUUUGUUCUCAUUAUGUCGUUAGAUCUUUUCAUUUUGGUCUGAUCUUACCUCUAGACAUGUUAGAUCACAUUUUAUGCAUUAUUCAUAUUUUGAUUACAAUUAUUUGUUGGUUUUGCUAAUGUUUUCGUAUCUAAACUCUAAUUUUUCAAAUUUUUUCGAAAAAAUUAGGAUUUACUGAUUCUUUGAGCUUGAUUUGUCAUAUUGAUUUUCAUGGUUAAGUCUGGCCAUAGCUAUCUAGCUAUUUUCAUAUCAAUUUGCGUAAGUUUUUUUUGGAAUGGCAAUCGCAUUGUUCUUACUGUUCAAAAUAUAUAAUCAUUGUGUUUGACAGGGUUGUCUUUCGAAAAUGUACUCGUGCUACUUGUUCUUGUUCUUCUGGUUAUGGCUGAAGCGCGUGGUCGGUGGCGUAAGCGACAGCGCUCAAAAGCUAAAAGGCCGAUUUGAGUGAUUCAACAGGGGGACGAUGAAGAGACGCGAUAUGCUCCUGGCCGAUGAACCUGAGAGGAAGACGGCCGCGUAUUGGGAGACUUGUUCCCGAAGUAUUGAGCUAAGGAUAGGAUACUGCUGGAAAGGCAAAGGAAAAGGAAAGGCUCGUGGAUAAAGCAAAGGAAAAAGCAACUGAACGUCCCCAGUCGUCGUAAGAAGUCCGGGGGUUGUUGAAAUUCGAGAACCAGGUUUUGCAGCACCACGUCACAGUUCUACAAGAUGUUCAUUAGAUCGAGGUCAUGUACUUGUCGAAACACUCAUUGCGGGUGUGAGCGAGAUGUUGGGGGGCCAGUUUCAUAGUGUGCUGCCGUCUGUUUCAGGAUUUAACUUUAACAGGGAAUCUUCAUCAGAUUUGUGAUUCCCGGAGCAAAACCGGUUAUUGUUUGGAGUGAUCAAGAGAAUUUUACAUCGAGAGCAGGGACCUCAGUGAUUCCGACGGCGGUCUCCGUACGUGUUAGAAUUCCGUACGUGGUGUUGAGUUAUCCAACUCCUUGCGACAAUAGGGCUGUCAGGUGAUAGAGCAUGGAAGCGACGACUGACGUGAGUGGCAAGUAUCUUCAGGCUGGAUUCGACUCACUUCGCGAUCUGGAAACCGUGUUAGUGACACUAGUUUGUAUGCCGCUGGUACGUGAAUCAAACGGCAUAUGGUUAUUGUCAAAAGAUUUUCAAAUGAGUAACAUCGUUUCUGACUUUUUUAUAUGGAGUUUUUUGCUCCUUAACACUACAUUAUGAUUUCGUCUAUUCUACAAUAAUUGCUUCGAACACGAAAAUCUUGUGAAGUUUGUGAGGAUUCGGUAGGUUUAUCAUGUUUGAACAAUUUAUAUGUUUUGGAGACUGCAAUCUUUUAGCCACCAUGAUAAACUCAUUAUUAAUUGAGCGAGUAAUUCCAGUUAUCUGAUAUGAAUAGGUUUGUCCGUUCUGAUCUGGGCGGCGGAUGGCCCGGAAAACAUCAAAACCUCGGGCAAAAUGAUAGCGUUACCAUUUCCUAUUUAUAAGAUGCGGAUUUUUUGCGACUUCGUUGAGGGUGGAGAUUGGUGUGAAGUAUGGUCUUGACAUCAAAUAACUCUUAGUGGGCAUCUACUUGAUUCUCGUAAGAAGUAUCGAGUAAAAACGAAGAAUCAAGCCGAUGUUGAUUGCUAGAAACUCAUCAUGUAAAUCUAAGCAUUGAAACGGGGAGAAACAAGUUUCUAGGGUUUAGAAUUGGUAAAGUAUUCAAAGCCUUAAUUUUAGAUGACCCACAUAGCUUAUUUAUAGGUUUAGAAGACUUAGAAGUAGACUAGGAUUGCAAAAAAAUCGUUUUCAAAAACCUGUGUCGUCCUCAGAGACCGGUCCUCUCGAGGAGACCGGUCUGUGAGAGACCGGUCUCUCAAGUGAGGAACCGGUCCCUCUCUGCGUGACCAAAAACCCAACGUUCAGGAACCGGUCUCUCAAACUUGAGACCGGUCCCUCGCUGUGCGACAGAACCACCAUGGUUCGGGAACCGGUCUCUCAUCACAGGGGACCGGUUGCAUCAUGGUUUACGCAGUGAGGACCUUGGGGGAACCGGUCUCUCCAUCUCAGAGACCGGUCCCAGAACACAUGAAAGUUCAGAAAAGUUGUUUUAAAGCAAUCUAAGCCUUCUGAACUUAUUCUAAUUAUGUAUCUUCACCACAAAUGAUCUUUUAUUCAUACCUUAGGUGUCGUUCUUUCCGAAUGAGUCUUUGUCCUCCAAUUUGAAUCUUUUCUCAAAAACUUCUGCGAUCAACUCUUCAAGACUCCAAACAACUUUACGAAAUUCGCCAACCUAUAAAAUCCUUAACAGUUUGAUGGCGAGAACGUCGACCACUGGAUUGUUGAGAAGUGGUUGAUGCAUAUGGAGGAGCUUUUUCGAGACACCUUUGUGGAGGAGCGGGACAGAGUUUGGCUCGCCACUCACUUUCUGGACGGCGAGGCCUACCGUUGGUGGUUGGAUAUCCAGGACAACCCCAACACCGAUUUGGCAGCGAUUACUUGGACGAGGUUCAAGGAGCUUCUUCUGGCGCACCACUUUCCUACCAGCGUCAAGAGGAAGAUGGAGCAGGAUUUGCGCAGCUUGUGCCAGGACGAGCGGUCAAUGGCUGAGUACGAGAGGGAGUUCUCCCGGAUACUACACUGUGUACCGUUUGUUGUUAGGGAUGACGAGGACAAGGCCCGCAUAUUUGAGCGUGGUUUGCGGCCUUCUAUCUUCCGGUUGGUGCAGUCUUCCAACCUCCAGACCUAUCGAUAGAGGUUCGUGUCGCCACAAAAAAUUAUUCUUGUCAUUGAUUUGGAUUUGGGGUUGUAUUAUUUAACCCUAAUGCGAAAGCAUAUACAAAACAUAUUUCAUAUAUUUGAUAUAUGAAAGUAAUUGGUGACAAUCAUGAAUCCCGGGUGACGUAGUUAAUAUGUCAUUAUUUUAUGGUAGUUAAUUCUUUAAGUUAGCAUGCAAUUAAUAAAAGAAUUUUAAUUGCAUAUAACUUAAUCUAUUAACCUAAGUAGGUUAUAUAUAAAGGCUAAAUCAAAUUACAUAUGUUGGGGCACGAGAUGCACUAUAUGAUUUCAUCAUAUGGUCUGAGAUUAUUUGUCAUCAAUGUUUAAUAUUAUUUUGUAUUAGAUACAAAAUAAUUGCAUUAGAUGUAAUUAAAAAUAUGAUCUGAUGAGACUGAAAUAAAAGCCAAAACUUUAUAUUAUAAAUAUUAAGUUGUAACAAAGAGUGUUAUGAACACCCUUUUGUGGCCUUCUACCGUUGUAAGGUGUUGGCGUUUUUCUAAAUGUUAGAGAUUAGCUACAAAAUAAUUUAAAAAAUAUCAACGAGUCGAUCAAGCCGAGGCACGGAUAUCUCGCUCUCUUUAAGGAGAUUCAAGCCCUCUGCGGUUGGCAAAGCCUUUGAACCGAUGCAGUAGAGCACCGACUUGUCCCCUCCAGGAUACAACGGCUCGACCCUCGUCGUGUGGCUUCACCAACUCUGCACAAGUAGAUGAGCCCAAAGCUCCACCAAAAGAACACCUUUCUUUGACCUUCUCUCUCUCUCAAGUAUAAUAGAAAUAGCUUUAGUUGUAUUUGCAAAUGAAUGAAAAUGAACUCUAUAUAUAGGCCUCACAAGCUAUAGGUUACUAGAAUUAAAUGGCUUGGAGUUAACUUGCAUUCCUCCAUGAAUGCAAGAGUAUAGGUUAUCAAAAGGUUAUAGGAAUGCAACAUGAAUACAUGUAUAGGUUAUGUCAUUUUCAAUGCAAAUAUUAUUUAAUAAUAAAAUGUAACAACAUUCCCCCACUCAUUUUAUUAUUAAAAAUAUAUGAGAGUUUGAUGGCCAAAGAGGGACCGUUAUACAUAAUGAAGAUGUGCUCUGCAUUGAACCUUCACUUAGUGAGUGAUACGCAUGGUUACAUGGGCCACUUGCAUGAAGAAAGCGCAACUACCUUAUCAACAUUUGAUGUUAUGUGGUAAAAUUAAUACUGUACCCAAUAACUGUUAGGUGAGGGUUCAAUAUUAGUUUUACACACAUAAUUGAAUGGUAGAUCAAACUUAACUAGGAUGUGGGCCAAUAUCUGUUAGGUGAGGCUUUUAUGUCCUAGAGGCCAAGGAAUAAUUGCAAUAUGUUUCUGAAACAUUGGACAAGAGUUGUCCACUCAUCUAUUUGCUAAUUACCAAUAAUUGUUAGGUGAGGUAAUUUGCAAAAUUGGUGAGACUGCAAUCCCCACUAUAAACCAAAUUAAGAGGUUUCCGUUUCUGCACUAAGGGAGUGUGAAGAUCCGCAAAAUUUAGUGGGAGACACCAUUUGAUUAAAAGUCCAUAGUCAAAUGGAAUAAUGAAAAGUAUAUAACUAACUGAAUAUCUUUCCCUUCUACAGAAUAUAGCUGCUUCUAACCCUUUUACUAAAAUUCUUGAUGCCAAUCGCUAGACCGGCCCUAAUUUUUUUGAUUGGCUACGGAACUUGAGAAUCGUUCUCAAUUCUGAAAAAAUUGCCUAUAUUUUGACUACUCCUGCCCCUGAACUUCCAGCUGAUGACAAUGAGCAAGAGAGAGCUGCUUAUGAAAAAUGGAUAGAUGACGAUAACAGAGUUAGGUGUUACAUGUUGGCAUCGAUGAGCAAUGAGUUGCAACGUCAACAUGAACACAUGGACAGUGCGUUGGCCAUUCUACUUUACCUACAAGAACUGUAUGGUGAACAGAGCCGCUCUACUCGAUAUGAGAUAUCGAAACGACUAUUUCGAGCAAGAAUGUCCGAUGGCCAAUCUGUUAAUCAUCAGUGUUUGAAAAUGAUUGAGGAUAUAGAAAAGAUUGGGAAGCUCGGCCUACGGAUGGAUGCAGACUUGCAGACAGAUUUAAUUCUGCAGUCUUUACCUGACUCAUUUUCACAGUUCGUAAUGAACUUUCAAAUGAAUAAGAUUCAGUGCACUCUCUCAGAGCUCUUGAAUAUGCUGGUAACAGCAGAGGAAACAAUAAAAGGUAAUAAAGGGUCGAUCUUGGCUAUGGAAUGGGCUUCAUUCUCCAAAAGAAAGUUUAAAUGGAGAAACAAGAAAUCUAACAAGAAGCCAAAGGCUGAUAGCAAAAGACAAGUUCUUAAGAAGGCCACUAAAGGAAAAUAUUUCCACUACAAUGGAGAUGGCCAUUGGAAGAGGAAUUGCCCUAAAUACCUUGCUAGCCUAAAGGAGAAGGCAAAGGACAAGCCUUCUGAAGGUAUGUCCAACCUGCUCAUUGAGACUAGUUUGUCAGUAUGUUCUACUACUACUUGGAUAAUUGAUUCUGUAUGCACUUCUCACUUGUGCACCUCGAUGCAAGGUUUAAGACAAAGUAGAAGGCUAAAGGAAGGAGAAAUCAUCCUACGAGUGGGUAAUGGAGCAAAAGUUGCUGCAUUAGCCGUAGGAACCUAUCCUAUACUAUUACCGUCAGGCAUAGUUUUAGAAUUAAAAGAUUGUCUAUAUGUUCCUAAUGCUAAUAGAAACUUAAUUUCUGUUUCCUUAUUAGCAUUGACUGGUUAUAAAUUUAUUUUUGAAAUAAAUACUUGCUCAAUUUAUUUGAGAAAUAAAUUGAUAGGCUAUGGAACAAUAAUUAACAAAUUAUAUCACUUGCAUAUGGAUGUAAGUAUAAAUACAAUUGAGCAGGAAGUAAAUGUCGUAGGGUCUAAGAGACCUAGAGAAGAGGUAAAUCACAAGUAUAUGUGGCAUCUUAGAUUAGGUCACAUCGAUGAAGAUCGGAUUAACAAAUUGGUUAAAGAUGGGCUCUUGAGUUCAUUGUCUUUUGAGCCGUAUCUAAUUUGUGAAUCAUGUCUUCAAGGAAAGAUGACCAAAUUACCCUUUAUUGGACAAGGGGAAAGAGCCACUGAGGUACUUGCCUUGGUGCAUACUGAUGUAUGUGGACCAUUUGAUGUACAAGCCAAGGGAGGUUAUGUUUACUUCAUCACCUUUGCUAACGACUAUUCACGGUAUGGGUAUGUCUACUUGAUGAGACAAAAGUCUGAAGCCUUUGAAAAGUUCAAAGAAUUUAGACAUGAAGUAGAAAAUCAAACCGGAAAGUUUAUUAAGAUCCUUCGAUCAGAUCGAGGAGGGGAAUACUUAAGUUCGGACUUUCUAAAUUACCUCAAAGAAAACGGCAUCAUCUGUAGCACACUGGACCUUUGCAAAUUGCGAGGUUCGAGUAUUUGGAUGUAUUUCGAGCUUUUCCAUACUUGGUGGAGGGUUGUAGAAUGUUUUCCGACCUCAAAAGUUCGAAAACUGAAAUUCUGGACAAGUCCUGAGAGUUUUUACUCUCGGGGACCGAUCCCUGGAAGGAGAGACCGGUCCCCCAGUGAGCAGUGUUGCGGCAGCCCUGAGGCAACCGGUCCCUGGCGGGCGAGACCGGUCCCCGAGCGCGCCCACGCAGAGAGAGACCGGUCCCACGCAGGGAGAGACCGGUUCCCGAACGUUGGUUCUCCGGGUUCGCAGCGAGAGACCGGUCCCUGCUGGGGAGAGACCGGUCCCUCUGGGCGAAAACUGCCCAGACCGGGCUGUGGUAAUAUUGGAUUUUUGGAGGACCUAGCUGGAUUUUGUUACAAUAGAUGGUCUAUAUGACCCAUCCACCCUCUCUUCUCCUCAUUUUCCCUCCUCACACUCUCCCCACAUCCUUGCUAGAGAGAGAAGAAGGAGAAGAAGAGGAAGGAGAAGAAGAGGAGAAGGAUCUAGCUUGGGCUUGGAGCAUCCCUUUGCCUUUCUUCCUCUUCCCACCUUGUUCGUGCUUGAAGGCUUGGACUUGGAGCUUGCAAAGGAGAAGAUCUUCACCCUUUGAGCUUGGAUUGGAGCUUCUUAGAGGUUGGUAGCCCUUUCUCUCCAUCUAGACCUUGGAUUUGAGGUUUUAUUGUAUUGGAACCCUAGAAUGAGGUUUUAGGGUUGAUUUUGGGGCUUUUUGAUCUAGGGCUUUUGAGGCUAGAUUGAUUGGAUUAGAACCUUCCUUGAGCUUGGAUUGGAAGGGUUCUAGCUCUCUUUUAGAGCUUUGGAAGAGAUUUCUUCUCUUGAGGUGAGUUUUAGCCCUUUUGUUAGGUUGUUAAAGUUUGACCUUAUAGAUUGAUCGUAAUGCCCGUGUAUCUCUUCGCUCAAUACUUCUAGGGUAUUUCGAGACUCGGGGACAACUUUGUUCGGCGAAACGGGGCACUACGCGACGGUUCGGUGGGUUUGACCUAGCCUACCUAUGAGAAAUUCUCAUAUAUGGUUAUAUAUGUUCCGUAAAUUGGAAAAGCAUGCAUAUUCAUCCUAAUUGUAUUUAUUAUGAUUUUUAGAAUGCUUAAAAUGCAUAUGUUAUAUAUGAUGAAAUUUUGGACCUCUAUGUAGUAGAGAGUUGCUUGGGAGAUCUAUGGUUGCAUUUAGCAUUCUUUAUGAGACUUGGUUUCAUGCUUCUAUAGUGUAAAUGAGUUCGGAUUCAUGCAUUUAAACUUGAGUUUACUUGUGACAUGAAAGAUGACAAGAUUGCCAUUUAGAAGGUAUGUGAACUAGAGAGCUAAUGUCAUCAAGCGGCAUUGAGCUCGGGACAUGUGAGAACCUAGUGGAUAGGGCCAUUGAGGAAUGUGGAACAUGCUUAAAUAUUAAAUGUCUAAGUGUCAUAAAGGGGCACUAGACCUAGAAAAUGUUGGAACUUCAUUUGUGACUUAGAACUAGAUCUUCGAGAUGCUAGUGACUAUACCAUGUUAGAGACAUGAGGGUUGGAUACUUGAGCCAUUGACUACGCUUGUUUGCCAUUUGUGCUCAUUCGCACAUGCUUGUGAGGGUCGCUCCCUACAAGCCGGCACUCCGGAGUUAGCCUACGCGACUUAUGUUCGCUCGUGCGGUAUUGAGAAGCCUACGAGGUCGAGUGGGACAGACACAUUCCAAGAGUAGGAAUGUUGGGCUACCACAGGCACUUAGGCGGCGCAAGCUGGACUACCCUUGGUAGGUCCCUAAUUGGAAAUGGAAAUCGACACGGGAUGAGUUUGUUAUAAUCACUACUAAAUAGAGAGUGGUAGUUGGAUUACUCGGACUUGCUUCUAGCAUAGGUUUGGACUUUGGGUAUACAUAUACAUGUAGUAUGCUACGAGGCAGUGUUUAAUUGCAUUCAUAUAAACAAUGUUGCUAUGAUAAGGGAUAAUUCUCAUAAUUUCAUUUAAGCAAACCAUGACAUUAUUUAUGGCUAAGUAGAGACAUACUCUUCAUGACAGGAUAAUUGUGCAUUACAUAAAUGCCAUGUUUAAUCACAAGUAAUAUCUUAGCAUUUCAUUAUGCUCUCAUAGAUGCAAAUUACUCGUUAUUGCUAUCGCUUUUGACUUACCCUUUUCUUUUGGGCCUAGUGGUGCAAUGAGCUGAGGUCAAUAAUUGCCCACUAGGAACUAUAAAUUAUAGUUCUCACGCCCUCUGUUUCAUGUUUUCCUUCAGAGCCUUCCACGCCGGGAGAGGCUAGGGACCGUGGGAAGGGCGUCGCUUCGGGUUAGCCUUUCAGCGAGAGACGAGUUGUAAUGCACUGGAUCUUAGCAAAUUGCAAGAUUCGAGUGUUUGAUCUGUGUGUGGAGCCUUUCCACAGUUUUUGGAGGGUCGUUGAUAGUGUCCCGACCCCUGGCACGCAUCCCGAGGAUGUUGGAGUAGGACUUGGCACCAAAAUUCCAAAAUCGGAAUUUUUGGACAGCUCUCGGGUAGCCUGCAGCAGGGCUUGUACCGGAACAAGACUGGCCUUGUACCGGUACAAGGGUUGAUGGUUGUACCGGUACAGCCAUCGGGCUUGUACCGGUACAGAGCCGCAGACCGAGCAACCCGAGCUUCGGGUUUGCAUUUUCGUCGGCCUUGUACCGGUACAAGAACCCGUGUACCGGUACAAGGAGGCAGUUUUUGUGCAGUUUGGUCUGCAGGGGGUUUUUCGCGAUUGUAGCCUAUCUAUAACAGCACCCACGCCCCUUAGGGCUUUUUUUGUGCUGGGACCUGAGGAGGAGAAGGUGAGAGGAGCUCUCUCUCCCUUUCUUUGCAUUUUUACCCCCUUUGCUUGGUUUUUAUUUGGGUUUUCUCUCAUCUUUUUGCAUCUUGGUGGCUUCUCCACCAUUGUUGAUGGCUUAGAGCUUGGAGAGGAGCUUGUGGCUGAGGAGAUCUCCCACCCCACUUGGAUUGGAGCUAAGUUUGGAGCUUCUUGAGAGGUUAGAGACUUGAUUUCUCCCUUUGAUCCUUGAUUUGAGGUUUUUGUGAGAUUAAACCCUAGAAUUGGAAUAUUAGGGUUUAUAUUGGGCAUUUUGGAUCUAGGGCUUUUGAAGCUAGAUUGUUUGGAUUAGAGGCUUCCAUUAGGUUGGAUUGGAUGAGCCCUAGCUUCAUUUUGGAGCUUUAGAGGAGAUUUUUGCACUAGAGGUGAGUUUUCUACACCUAUGCUUGAAUAGCUUAAUGAUUGAGCUAGGUUUUGUUUGUUUGGCCGUGUAUGAAUGUUUUUGUAUCUAGGAUGUAGGAGAUAGAGGACCUGUUGUGAGCGCGAGGAGUUUGUUAGCCUCGGUGGGUUUGGCUUCCUCGAAAUUGGGGAAAUUCCUAUAAGUGGUUUGUUUCAUGCCUUAAUUAUCUUUAGUAGAUUUAUGGGUUUUGAUGUUGAAUAUUUGUUCGUUGAUAAGAAAUUUUCUAUUGUAGGGAGAGAAGGCAAUGUGCUUUGUUAAUAUGCAUGCGACAAUUAUUCUAUGAGUGACGAAAUCAGGUUUAUGGCUUCCGGUUUGAACUAGAUUGUUUAAGUUCUUGAAUGUUGUAUCCAUGUUGCGGCAAAUGAGCAUAGUGUGGGCCUUGGACUAGAGAUUAUUUAUGCAACAUUAGGCUUGGAAUUAGGCAAUUGACAUACAUAUUUUCCAUAUUUUGAGUAUGCAUAUUAGUGACUUGCCACGAGGACAUUUAGUAUAUUAUACAAUGUAUUGGACUGAGGUUGAUAUGGAUGUGUUUGACUAGCUUGCUUUCGUGUCAUGCAAUUGUUUGAGGGUCGCUUCAGCGUAUCCGAGAUGGCCAUGCGAUAACAUAUUCGCGGUGGGGACUUGAGGGCGCGAGUGGAUUGCGUGGGGCCAGGCUCUUAUAGGGUAGGAUCAUGAAUACCCGGGUUAGGUCGACGGCCGAAGCCUCCGGGUGCGGUUCAGGGAUAGCGCUUCGGUGGGAUUUUCGCUUGGAUUUUAUUCGUUAGACAUUUUGGAUGAUGAUGAUUAGAGUAUUAUUUUGGACAGUUGAUCGAUAGUAAACGGAAUUUACGUAUUUGCAUUGUGGCAUUUUGAUGUUGGAGAUUGUUCUUCUGAAUGGCUUGUUUCUACUUUGCUAUUUAGGUAUGAGAUUCAUUGUAGUGUAGUUAUUUUUUUCUUACCUUUCGCUUUUACAUUUUUGGUCAUUACUCUUCUUAGCUUUGGGCCUUGUGGUGCAUUCACUGAAGUCAGUAAUUGCCCACUGGGAACUAUUUUUAAUAGUUCUCAUGCCCCCGUUUUGUGGUUUACUUUUCAGAGCCUUCGGCACCGGCGGAGGCACGGGAUCGCGGCAAGGGGAUCGCUUAGCUAGCUAGCGAGGAGCGGUACUUUGCCUAGGUGGUUUACUCUUUCUUUUUGUAGUUGAGAGAGAGUGAGAGAUUUUGUAUUCAUGUAUAGAGACCACCUAUGUACCUACUUAUAGCUCUUGUAUUUGGGAUUUCCUAUUAUUCUUACUCUAUGUUUUAUUUAGUGGAUUUACUGUUUUAUCCUUAUCCCUUGUUGUAGCAUUUAGACAUUUAUUAUGCUCUGAUACUUCUAGAUGUCUUUUAUUAUUGCUGUUAUUAUUGUUGUUUUUAGACGCCUUAUAUGUUGUAGACAUAUGGCGGGUCUGGGCACGCGCCGGGCGGGCUCCCGCUGGGUCCCGGGGCGUGACACAAGUUUAGGUGGUCUACCUCUCGAUGUUUUAUUUUGUGAGAGGUUGAGAGUUGUACCCGUAUAUGUAUAGAGACCACAUUUCUUUUGGAUCUUGGUAUUUCUUUAGAGGAGUUAGUUUUGUAUCACCUUAUGUUUUACUUUCUUCGUCUUGGUAUAUUUCCUUUACUCUGGUUUAUAUGAUAGAACUUUGCUCGCUCUGAUAUCAUUAGUUGUUACUAUUCUAUUUGUUCUAUUUCUUGCUUUUACUUCCGCUUGUUGUAGACGCCUUAUAUGUGUAGACAUAUGGCGGGUCUGGGCACGCUACCAGGAGGGCCUCCGCCGGUCCCGGGGCGUGACAUCAUCUCUCAUGGACUCCUCCUGGCACUCCACAACUUAAUAGAGUAUUUGAAUGGAGAAAUCGUACUUUAUUAGAUAUGGUGCGAUCCAUGAUGAGUUUCACAGAUUUGCCUAUAUCACUUUGGGGGUAUGCUCUCCUUACUGCUGCAUAUAUCUUAAACAGAGUGCCUUCUAAAUCUGUUUCUACUACUCCAUAUGAGAUUUGGUUUGGUAGAAAGCCAACUCUUGGUCACCUCAAGAUUUGAGGAUGUCCGGCUUAUGUUAAGAAGUUAAAAAUGGACAAAUUGGAAGUAAGGUCGGAUAAAGGUAGAUUCGUUGGUUAUCCCAAAGAAUCACUGGGAUACUAUUUCUAUUUUUCCCAUGAUCAAAAUAUUAUUGUGAGUCGGCACGCCUCUUUUCUUGAGAAACAAUUUAUUCAAGAAGGAGGUAGUGGGAGGAAAAUAGAACUCAAUGAGAAUGUUUCUGAUGAGCAACGAAUCCACCAUGAUCAACCGAAAAUCUCUGUUCAAUUGGAACCAACAUACACACAACCACUUCGAAGAUCUAGUAGAGUCUCCCAACCUCCAAACAGAUAUUUGGGAUUUGUCGUAGAAGAGGUACAGGAAAUGUUUCUAAUAUGAGAUAAAGAUCACAAACAUGAUCCUACUGGUUAUGAUGAGGCGAUGUCAGACAUCGACUUUGAGAGAUGGAAGGAAGCUAUGAAGUCUGAAAUGGACUCCAUGUAUUCCAACUAGGUUUGGACACUAGUUGAUUUACCAGAGGGUAGAGACCUAUAAAGCAAGGCUUGUGGCGAAAGGUUAUAGUCAAUGAGAAGGUAUUGACUAUCAAGAGACCUUCUCGCCAGUGGCUAUGCUAAAAUCCAUUCGAACCUUACUCGCUAUCGCUGUACAUUAUGAUUAUGAAAUAUGGCAGAUGGAUGUGAAAACCGCGUUCCUUAAUGGAUAUCUUGAGGAAGAUAUCUAUAUGGAACAGCCUCAAGGUUUUACCUCUAGCAAAGAUAAUCAUAAAGUGUGCAAGCUUCAGAUAUCCAUAUACGGAUUAAAACAAGCAUCUCGAAGUUGGAACACUCGUUUCAAUGAGGCAAUCAAAUCGUUUGAUUUCAUCAGAAAUGAGGAAGAACCAUGUGUGUAUAAAAAGAUUAGUGGGAGUGCUGUCACAUUUCUCGUAUUGUACGUGGAUGAUAUUCUUCUAAUAGGGAACGACAUUGGGAUGAUGUCAUCGGUCAAGUUGUGGCUAUCCCAGAAUUUCUCCAUGAAAGACUUAGACAAUGCAUCCUACAUUUUUGGUAUAAAGGUCUAUAGAGAUAGGUCUAGAAGAUUUCUCGGCCUAUCUCAGAGGAUGUACAUAGAAGAAGUGCUGAAGAGGUUUAGCAUGGAAAUUCCAAAAGAGGUCUAUUACCUCUAAGACAUGGAAUUUAUCUCUCCAAAAAGAUGUGUCCUAAAACACCUGAGGAGAGAGAACGCAUGAAUAGAAUCCCAUAUGCUUCAGCUAUUGGGAGUCUAAUGUAUGUAAUGCUAUGUACGAGACCUGACAUCACACAUGCUAUGAGUGUCACGAGCAGAUAUCAAUCUAACCCGGGUUUGGAACACUGGAUUGCAGUUAAGAAUAUCCUCAAGUACUUGAGAAGAACUAAGGAUAUGUGCCUGGUCUUUGGAGGUGGUGAGUUGAAGUUGGAAGGCUUCACAGACUCUGAUUUUAUGUCAGAUGUUGAUGAUAGAAAAUCUACAUCAUGAUAUUUGUUCAUAGGUAAUGGAGGAUCUAUUGUUUGGAAGAGUUCCAAACAAGUGACGAUCGCCGAUUCUACUAUGAAAGCAGAAUAUAUUGCUGCAUCAGAAGCCUCGAAGGAGGGUGUUUGGAUCAGAAAAUUUAUUACAGAACUCGGUGUUGUUCCAGCUAUUGAAGAACCAACACCGCUUUUCUGUGACAAUAAUAGCACCAUAGCUUUAGCUAAGGAGCCAAGAUCUCAUCAGAAAUUCAAACAUAUUGAACGGCGAUAUCAUAUCAUCAGAGAAUAUAUUGAAAAAAAAGGAAUAUCCGUGCAAAAGGUUGAUUUUGCUGACAAUGUAGCAUACCCAUUAACCAAAGCACUCACUCAACAAAAGCUAGAAGGCCAUCUUAAUGUAACAUAUCACAUCCCUCGUAAAUCGUGCCGAGUUCCGUCGAAAUGUGCGGAAUGCGGAGUGGAACAAGUUGGUAUGGGCUAGUAGUACUUUGGAGCCCAUAUAUAGUGCAAAGGGACCUGAGAGAGUGAAAUUCCAAAAUCUGGGUAAGUUCCAGAUUUUGUGCUCUCGGGGACCGGUUGCUGAAGGAGAGACCGGUCCCCGUACGCGUAGCUUGCUAGGAAUCCUGAGGCAACCGGUCCCUGGCAGUGAGACCGAUCCCCGAGGAACCGGUCCUUAAAGGAGAGACCGGUCCCUCACUGCGCAGCCAGCCAAAAACCCCAAAAAUUGGCUAUGUCCUGAAAAUCAGACUUUCGGGAACCGGUCCCUUGUUGGGGAGACCAGUCCCCGACUGCGAAAAUUGCCCAGUAAGGGCUGAUGCAAAUAUUGGGAGUUGGGGGGGUCUUGUUGCUAAUGUUGCAACAUGUUAUGUACCCAUCCCCUCUCACCCUCUCUCCCACAGCCAUUUCUACUCCUUUCUCUCUCAUUUCUCCCUUUCUCUCUCUCUAGAUCAUCCCCUAGAGCUUGGAGAAGUAGGAGAAGAAGCAAGGAGAAGUGGGUUUUGGAGGCUUUGGUGGAUCUAAGAGCUCUCCUAUAAGAAGGAUCUUGGGAGGAGCUUGGGCGAGGUAAGUUUGAGCAAGUAGAACUCUAGGGUUUAGUUUUAAACCCUAAGAUUUGGAGUUUUGAGUUUGUUUCAAGCUUUAGAAACCUUAUAGAGCUCAAGACACCAUGAAACCAUGGUUUCUUGAGGUGCUCUCAUGGUGAACCCCUAGGGUUCAUGCUAGAUGCCCUAGGAAUGUGUAGAAUGGCUUUGUAAAGGUAUUAAAGAGCUUCCUAGGUGAUUCUAAGCUAUCUUUUGCUUAGGGAUGAGAUCAAUUUAGGAGAAAUCUCAUUGUGACAUUGUUAGGGCUCAAAUUUGGGGCUUUUGCCCUAGGAUUUUUCGGGGACGAAUUGACCUCGUAGAAACCUAAUUGGGGGUGUCCUCGACGCGUUGGACAACUCCGUUCAACGUUAUGAAAAUGUCUAAGUAUAGCUUGUGUUUGUAGGGCCUAAUUUGGCACUAUUUUGGUUAUAGGACGCGGAUUCGGCGUUCGUAAAGUUCGGGAGUCAACAUAUUCCUCAUCUACUACCACUCAAGAUGGGAGGUGCACACCGGAAUCAUCGGAUUCCCCUUUAUGUCUAUUUUCACCUUUGUUGAGCAUACUUUUAUAUAGAGUCAUUCAUGCAUAGUAGGGAUAUUUACAUGUGAUUAGUGGUUAGAAUUUUAAUAUUGUACUUCUAACGUAGUUGAACAUAGUGAUUGAACAAGAACCAUAAUGGACAUGUAUGUAGAACCCUAGAAGAUGUAUGAAUGCAAGACUUGGACAUUGAUUGUAGUAAACAAGGGUGGCAAUGACAAUAGAGACAUGAUUGGCCAUGAGAACGAAAUUGUUACACAAGGUUUAACAAUAAUGGCACUGAGACAAGAACAAUAUAGAACAUGACAUGAACAAAAGGUAGAAACCUAUCAUGGCAUCGGCAUUGUGACUAGCGGCUAAGUUUCCUCAACUUGAGGAUUGGAUCGAGGCUCACAUGGAUUUAGGCUUGUGGGAGGUCGCUCCUCCACAAGUGGUGUACUUCUGAGUGUAGACACCAACGGGAAAGUACCCCGUCAACGAUCCCUCGGGUGGUUGUGCUUAAAGCCUCCCCCGGUAGAUGGGAAAUGGAAUGGUGAGCUAUUGGGGUUAACAAAGUUAACCGGUAAGAUUGGGUAAAGAAAGACAAGGUAAAGAAAAGAACAUGCAUGCAUGCAUACUAAAUAUUGUUGAUUACAUAUAUCCACUGACAUUCUUUUGCAGGCAUAGUAUUAGAUGCAUUAGUACUGGUUACUUUUCUUCCUUUGUCAUACUUAUGCCUGGAUAGAUCUAGUGGGUAAGUCGGCGAGGUCGGAUGCCGAACCCACUGGAAACUUCGUUGUAGUUCUCACACCACUAACCCCACAGGUCGUAGCACGAACGGGGCGGCGGAGGACCGAGGCAAGGGUUUAGCGCCGUAGAUAGCGGCCUCCGGGACUUUCUCACAUUUUGUAGUCAUUUUCCUUUUUGCUUACAUGUAUCAACUUCUUUUGUUGAUUUAGAAAGUUGUAAAGUUGAAAACUGUCACGCCCCGGGACCGGCGGAGGCCCUCCCGGUAGCGCGCCCAGACCCGCCAUAUGUCUACACAUAUAAGGCGUCUACAAUAAAAGCGGAAGUAAAGCAAGAGAUAGAAUAAAUAGAAUGAAUAGCAACUAAUGAUAUCAGAGCAAGUAAAGUUCUAUCAUCUAAACCAGAGUAGAAGAAACAUAUAUAAACAAUAAAAGUAACCAUAAGUAGUACAAUAUCUGUCUCAAAGGUACACAAAAGGGUGGUCUCUAGUACACUGGUACAGCUCUCAACCUCUCCAAAAAGAAACAAAGAGAGGUAGACCACCUAAACUCGUCACUCACUGAAGGGCUAACUCGAAGCAACACCCUUCCCAUAGUCCCUAGCCUCUCCCGGCGUGGAAGGCUCUGAAAGAAAACAUAAAACAGGGGGCAUGAGAACUAUAAUUUAUAGUUCCCAGUGGGCAAUUACUGACCUCAGCUCAAUGCACUACUAGGCCCCAAAGAAAAGGGUAAGUCAAAAGAGGACAAUAAUAACGAAUAAAUUGCAUUUAUGAAAGCAUAAUUAAAAUGCUGAAUAAACUACACUGCAAUCAAGCAUGAUGUUUAUAUAAUGCACCUUUACUUUAUCAUAAUCAAUAUGUCUCUACAUGGCCGCAAGUGACUGUCAUGAUUUACUUUAUGGUAUUAUGAAGAUCAUGCUUUACUAUGGUAAACAAUAUUUACAUGAAUGCAAUAAGCAACAUCUCCUAGCAUGCUGUAUGUAUAUGUGUAUACUCAAGUGUCCAAUACUAUGCUAGAAGCAAGUCCAGGUAAUCCAACUACUACUCUCUAUCUAGUAGUGAUUAAAACCCACUCGACACCGUGUCGAUUUCCAUUUCCAAUUAAGGACCUACCCAAGGUAGUCCAGCUUGUGCCGCCUAAGUGUCUGUGGUAGCCCAAAAUUCCUGCUCUUGGAAUGUGUCUGUCCCACUCGACUCCGUAGGCUUCUCAAUACCGCACGAGCGAACAUAGGUCGCGUAGGCUAACUCCGGAGUGCUGGCUUGUAAGGAGCGACCCUCACAAGCAUGUGCGAAUGCGCACAAAUGGCAAGCAAGCAUAGUUCAAGUCUCAAGUAUCCAAUCCUUAUGUUUCUAACAUGGUAUAGUCACUAGCAUCCCGAAGAUCUAGUUCUAAGUCACAAUGUGAAGUUUCGACAUUCUUUAUGCCUAGUGCCUCUUGAUGACACUUAGACAAUUUAAUGUUCAACAUGUUUCCAAUCCCUGAAUGGCCAUAUUCACUAGGUUCAACCAUGUCCCGAGCUCAAUGCCGCUUAAUGAUAUUAGCCAUCUAAAUCACAUAAUAACAAAGUUCGGUGCCUCUAUAUAGCAACUUUGUUAUCUCUCAUGUCUCAAUUAAACUUAAAUUUGAAUGCAUGUAUCAUGACUCAUUUAUACAGUAGAAACAUGAAACCAAGUCUCAUAUAGAACGUCAAUGCAACCCUAUGUCUCUCAAGCAACUCUCUACUACAUAGAGGUACAAAAUUUCAUUAUAUGUAACAUAGACAUUUUAAGCAUUCUAAAAAUCAUAAUAAAUACACGUAACAUGAAUUUGCAUGCUUUUUUAAUUAACGAUACUCAAAUCAUCAUAAAUGAGAUUUUCUCAUUGUGUGGCUAGGUCAAACCCACCGAACCGUCGCGUAGUCCUUCGUUUCGCCGAACGGAGUUGUCCACGAGUCUCAAAAUACCCUAAAAGUAUUGAGCGAAGAGAUACAUGGGCAUUACGAUUAACUAUAAGAUCAAACAUUAACAAUUAUAGCAAAAGGGCUAAAACUCACCUAAUGAGUGGAAAAUCUCUCUCAAGCUCCAAAAGAGAGCUAAAUCCCUUCCAAUCCAAUCCAAAGAAGGGUUCUAAUCCAAAUAAUUUAGCUCCAAAAGCCCUAGAAUCAAAAUGCCCAAAAUAAGCCCUAAAUCUCCAAUCUAGGGCUUCAUCUUGAAUCCAUCAAUAAAACUCGAAUCGAGAGGGAGAGAAUAAGUAGAUUAUCUCUUAGAAGUUACAAUCCAACCUCUAAACUCUCUAAACGCCAAGAUCUCCCCCCAACAAUGCUCCAAAUCCAAGCCCUAAGCUGCAACAAUGGUGGAAAUGCCUCCAACAAGCAAAAAGAGAAGUUUAAUCUCUUUAAAACCCAACAAAAAAAGAUCAAAACCAAAGAGAGGCAAGGUGGGGUUUCUCUAACCUAGUCUCCCUGAGUUCUCAGCUCAAAAGAAGCCCUAGGGGGCGUAGGUGCUGAUAUAAGAAGCCCACAAUCGCGAAAAACCCCCUGCAGUUGAAACUGUACGAAAUCAGCCCCUUUGUACUGGUACACGGGCUCUUGUACCGGUACAAGCCCCACGAAAAUCACAACCCGACGCUCGGGUUGGCGGGUUCAGCGGCUCUGUACCUGUACAAGCCCCUGUACCGGUACAACCAUCAACCCUUGUACCGGUACAACCAUCAACCCUGUACCGGUACAAGGCCUGCUGAAAGCUACCCGAGGACUAACAAAAAAUCCGAUAUUUCGGGUUUUGGUGCACAGCUUUAAACCUCGAUUCUCGGGACGCGAGCCAUAGGUCGGAACACUGUCAACGACCCACCAGAAAGUCUGGAAAUGCUGAGCACACAACUAACCACUCGAACCUCGCAAUUUGCAAAGGUCCAGUGCGUUACAAAAACAAUCAUGUAAUUUUGGUGAAUGGCUAAAUGUAAAGAAUUAUGAAUGAAAGCAAAGAAAUGUAAUAGUUCAGUUUACUAGUAUUUGGUUUAAAUUUAAUCAAAUAUCAUGUAUGUGUAUAUUUUAGCUUAGAGCUUUCGCUUCCGUUGUUGCUUGCCCUCGUGCAAGCCUUGUAUAAUUGCAUAUCCCUUUGUUGAUUGCUUAAUUAUAUUUAUUGUUGGAGCCUUGGGCGGACAGGGGAAAUGCUGUCCGUUCGGCGUCUGUUGACGUGGCCCGAACCCGACCAAAUUGGCGGGGAUUGGGGCGUGACACUUGAGAAGAUGGGAAUGCGCGAUAUGGGUGAUUGGCUUUAGUGCAAGUGGGAGAUUGUUAGUUAUAUGCCCUAUAAGCCAAUCCUGUCAUAACUUAAAGGGUUAAUAUCAGUGUACUUUUCUUUUAUGAUUAAAUCUGGCAUUCUUCAUUCAUAUUAUUGCCAAAUGCAUAUUUAUGAAUCG